AGGUCAAGUGAAGAAGGGCGCACGGUGAAUGCCUUGGCACUGGAAGCCGAUGAAGGACGCGACUAACCGCGAAAGUCUUCGGGGAGCCGUAAGUAGGCUUUGAUCCGGAGGUCUCCGAAUGGGGGAACCCAGCAUGUGCAGACAUGCUAUCCUUAAGUGAAUACAUAGCUUAAGGAGGGAACACGCAGUGAACUGAAACAUCUAAGUAGCUG
rnacentral:rRNA from 1 species